rnacentral:rRNA from 1 species
GGCCGCGGGAAUUCGAUUCAGGCCUAACACAUGCAAGUCGAGCGAAUUGACAGAGGUGCUUGCACCUCUCGAUUUUAGCGGCGGACGGGUGAGUAACACGUGGGUAACCUACCUAUAAGACUGGGAUAACUUCGGGAAACCGGAGCUAAUACCGGAUAAUAUUUAGCUUCGCAUGAAGCAAUAGUGAAAGACGGUUCUGCUGUCACUUAUAGAUGGACCUGCGGUGUAUUAGCUAGUUGGUGAGGUAACGGCUCACCAAGGCAACGAUACAUAGCCGACCUGAGAGGGUGAUCGGCCACACUGGGACUGAGACUCGGCCCAGACUCCUACGGGAGGCAGCAGUAGGGAAUCUUCCGCAAUGGACGAAAGUCUGACGGAGCAAGGCCGCGUGAGUGAAGAAGGUUUUCGGAUCGUAAAAUAAAGGGUAAGGGAAGAACAAGUACGUUAGUAACUGAACGUACCUUGACG